rnacentral:lncRNA from 1 species
GAUCCAUAGAGUCUUGAGGGAUUUGUACAUGUCUCUUUCUUGUUUCAUACCUUUUGUGUCAGCACAUGUGAUGAAAUGGAACUUUGCAUCUAUUCAGCCACCUUGAACAAAAAUUCAUUCCGUCAAAAACCACCAAUGUAUGUCCAUGUGAGAGGGAGACUGUGAAUUGAUGUAUUAGAGGGAACUGAGAGUGGAUGUUAUUAUUUGUCCUCAUCGUCCAAAUCACAAAUAAUUUUUUUUCUCUUUGUUAGUUUCUUGAACGUAGACAUGCAUGUAAGCAUUUGAAUGCUUGGUAUAAGUCUUAAUAGGAGUAGUAUUGAGUCUAUAUUUGAACGUUUGGUAGACAUAAUAGUGUCCUCUAUGAACUCCACCACUAUGAACUCAGUAUACAUAUGCGUUGAAGAGAAGCUACAAAUAUUACUACAAAGAUCCACUGUUGGGAAAAAAACCUGAAAAACAAUAAGUGUGCAGUUAACUGGCUAUGUAAAAAUCUGAUUAUUGUCAUAAAAUAUUUAAGAAAUACCAUACUUUCACCGUGUCUACUCCAUCGUUAUAAUUUGCAAGUGGAAAACAUAAACAAUGGAAAACAUAAACAAUAUGCGGAGUAUAGAGCUUAUCUAAAAUAAGAUGAACACAACAUGAAUAUUGGAAAUAUGUAAAUUCUCGCAUAGUUUUUAUUAUUACGUAAGAUUUUUUUUUUGUUUUUUGAGUGACAAAAGAAAACAAUAUAUGCAAAUGGAGUGCUUAUGGAUCUAUUAUUUGUGAAGAGUAUAGGGGUUACACACUUCUAACUGUAUAUGGAGAAAGAUAUUUUCCAUCAUCUCUAUCAAAAUCCAUUUGAAGUACUUAAAUAAAUCCAUUAGAAUGCAAAGUGUCUAUUAGCCUCAUCUGCAGCAUGUUACACACUGUUGCCGUGGCCAUGCCCUUACAAGAUGCUUAUCAACACACCCUUCCCAUCAAGCACCCCAAGCACGAGCUCUAGAGUCUUUGGUGUCACCGUUGACGGCCUUCUACUCGAAUUCCUCAAGCAUGCGGUCCUUCACUGGUGCGUUAGCCCAAACAACGUCUACGUCCUCGACAGGUCAGGCCCACACGGUGACGUCGACGCCGAACACCUCCUUAUGCUUCCGUGGUGUCCUCAAUGCCGACACAUCCGUACGUGUUCUCCAAAGAGGCAGCACCCAUACUCUAUGAUGAACCAAUGGAACUCAUCGUCGCUCCGCGAAAUCCACUCGCUGAUGUGUACUACUGUGCAUGGUUUGUCUUCAGCGAAGCAAUGGGCGGCAGGUGUGGGUGCCGCUGGGCGUUGGGACGGUGGUGUGGAGCCGGGAAGGAUAUUGUCUCGCGUGAGCAGAGCGGGGAGGACCGGGUAGCUGUGAGAUCCAACAACAUCAUGUCUCGUGUCCUCCCGAUGUCCCGACCAUAGCAGCUAGGUUCCUGUUUCCAGAAGGGAACAAGAAUGGGAACUUAGGGUAUUAUUCUAUAACAUGAAAAUAGAAACAUUCAUAUUUCUAGAAUAUAGAUAUUUGGAAUGUGGAACAUGGAAACGGGAGCGUGGAUCAUGUUCUCAUACCUUGGAUGCAGAGCCACGAAGGACAAUGCCACCCCAUCUCGCUAACGCGAGUCAGGGCGUCCAAACAGUUGAACCAAAUAGCUAAAAUUGAAUGCAGACCCUCUUCAUCAUGUCUCCAUAUACCUUGGACAGAAGCCACAUGUCCCACAAAACCUAUCACACGGUUAUGUGAUGUACCGUCUCCAUCCCAAAUUAUAAGUCAUCCAAGAACUUUGAAGAGCUAAAUCAUUUUAAGUUUGACUAAAUUUAUAUGAUAGGAUAAUAACAUUUAUUUCAUCACAACUAAAGAGUAAAGAGUGUAUAAUUUUUGGUGCGACAAUCGUCGGAUCGCCCGUCUGCCUGCCCCUGUGACCUCGCGGCCUCCCCUCCCCUCCUCCCUCGCCCGUGUGAACGCUCCCUUCGGCAAACUCUGCCCCAUCCAUCGUGAAUCGAGCCGGCGCUGCUCUUCCCUAGGCCCCGACCCGUUCCCGCACGCGGCCGCCAGUGCUCCAUCCCCAAAGCGCUUCGCUCGCCGGUGCUCGUCUAAGGUAUAUUAAGAGGUAAUAUGAGAAUAAGAUAAAGUUUGCCUAAUUUCUAUUUUUAUUAUUAAAUAAAUAUGUCUCCAAGCUAUAUAUUAUUGUAAAUAUUAACUAUCUAAUACCAUAGAUGUCAUGGUUAUCAAUAAAAUAAAUUAUAGACUUUAAAUUUUCUAGAUGUCAUGGAUAUCAAUAAAAUAAAUUAUGGACUUUAAAUUUUAUAAAAAGGAUAAAUAUAAAUAGAUAUGUAACAUUAUGUUAUCACUUUCUAUGAUCAUUUGAUGUUUUUCUCCCGUUGCAACGCACGACAUAUUUGCUAGUAGAAUAAGAAACAGCCGAAACUAAUUUGACAUGGACACAUGAUAAAGGAAUAUAGAUUAGGCUGGACGAAACUAAAAGAAACGGUAAAAAUUUUAAGGUAUAGAUUUUGUCUUUGAUUUUUGAUAGAGUUUGAUUUGAAGAAGUCUAAUUUGAGAGAGGAUUUUUUUCUUCUUUUUUGUCUCGCGUCCAUCUCUCCAUCCUAAGUAGCCAGACAAAAAAAAACUCCAGACCAAAAAAGAGCUUAAAAUUUGCUUCUGCGUGCCAUGGCUGGGUGGCAUCUUGUUUGCGAUGAAAACGGUACGGAUAUUUUUCGACUGUAUUCGAGACCGAAUAUGCAUUGACCAUGUUUUGGUUGCAGUGGAACCAAUCCAAAGGGAUUGAGCCAAGGGUUAGUGUGCAGCAAGACCGACCAUGUAUGGCCAUCGCGAGUCCUCCUAUCCGCAGGCAUGCAAGAUCUCGUGCUGAUGGUGUCGUGAGGACGUAGCGUCGCAGCGGUCGCACUCGCCUCCGCAGGGAUCCGUUCCACGACUCUAGAGUAGUGGUUUGAUUCCUGACAUGGUGCAACUGUAUUUUCUAUGCAAGGGUGCGGCCGUACAGUGAAACAGAACCAUUGUACAGAUUUCGUAGGCUAACUAAACACGUAUUCGGAAUAAAUCUAGGCCAGGAUUGAUCCACAACCGAACGAGGCCUUAGAGGGGUUCAUAUCUGUCCGUAUCUGAGUUCGAAUAUUCAACAUCUGAUACAUAUCUGAAUACUUAGAUCGUAUAUUUAUGAUAUCGACAUCCAAUCGUAUCUUAUUCGACAUAAUUAACAUUACCGUAUUCGAAUCCGAAUCCGACCAGAAAUAUGAAAACAAAUAUGAUACCAGUGAUUUCCGUUCGUAUUCAAUCCAUUUUCAUCCCUAUUUGCGACUGACUCAACCAAAGCCUGAUCUUAGAAAUUGCCUUUGUGCUUAGCGGGAGACCCAGGUACGAUCGAGAAGUUCUGCACCUUGCAGUCGAGAAUGGAUAUGAAAUCUAGCAGUGCUUCCUCGCCUCAAAGAUAUAUAGGUGUCACCGAACACUUAGCUAGGUUUGUGUGCAGUCCAGAUGAUUGACCGAAGAUGCUCAGGUUUUUCUUUACUGCAGUUGCCUCCUGGGUAGUUGGUCGAUGGAGAGUGUUGGGGGAUCCUCCGAUCGCUGAGCUGUCUGAUUCUGGAACGCUGCCUUGCCUCCACUGCACUGAGUUGCCGGUGUUCCUGGGCGACGUCCAAGCGUAGCACCAGUUCUUGUGCCACGAGGAGUUGGGCUUUAAUGUCGCCAAUUCUCGCAGCAGACCAGCUUUGGACAAGGUGGCGUAGCAUGAAGUCCAGCCGCAUAAGGGGAUCCAUUUGCAACACCCGGCGAGCCCAUCCUUGCUGGACUGAGUCAUCGUAGUCGUCGAAGCUAGGCCAAGACAACUCGAAGUGGAAUCUUGUGAUCCGAGGCAUCAGAACCUAGACCGGGGAACUGACGAGCACCCUGUCUAAGCUGACGAGCGUAGGGUGUUCCCAUUUGUUGCUCCAAGUGAAGCAUCGGCCGUGUGCAGGUGAAGGUCUUGGAGUUCCAGAGUGCAUGGUCACCGUGCGCCUGAACCUCCUGAGGUUCAGCCCUGUUUAUACGUACACCCAUUGUUCUUGUCCGCCUCAUUCAAGAUUAGAUUGAAGUCGCCGUUAAUUGCCCAAGAUCCCUCGCAGGCGUCCCGGAUGGCCUCCAUUGCUGUCGUGUGGAAUGUGAUGUUGUAAAUAAAGCACUUUUUUCCUUUUGCUUUCAAGAUGUGAUGAACUAAUAACUAAAAGAUUUUUUUAUUUUUGAACACUGGUAUGAUUCCUACAAAGAUAGAAAAUAAAUUUCAAAUGACAACCAAACAAUAAGAUGUGGACUUAGAACUUAGAACUUCCGGUCUCGGAUAUCAGAUGAGAUCCAACAAAUAUCAGGUCGUAAUAAAAGGUACGGUGUAAAAUUAGGUAGAGUGUAUCGUUUGAAGGUAAUAUUUUGAUGCAUUGAUCAUGAAAUGCUCAUGAUGAAUAGUGCAAUUUAGCAUCAGAUUUUUCAUGAGCAGUUGUGUGGUCCUCAGUGUACUAAAUCGUUUGUCUUCAUGAACAUGACAUGAGGCAAAUAUUUAAUUAAGAGCAUCACUAUGUUUCAUGAAAAUGGUAUGCAUCCACCUUACUAAUAGUGAACCUAAUCGGCCAAAUUAUUCAUGAGUUAUGCAAUUCAUAAUGUAAAAACUCUAUUUCACUUUUGGGCUCGAGCUCCUUAUAUAGAUCCAUAGAGUCUCCAGGGAUUUGUACAUGUCUCUUUCUUGUUUCAUACCUUUUGUGUCAGCACAUGUGACGAAAUGGAACUUUGCAUCUAUUCAGCCACCUUGAACAAAAAUUCAUUCCGUCAAAAACCACCAAUGUAUGUUCAUGUGAGAGGGAGACUGUGAAUUGAUGUAUUAGAGGGAACUGAGAGUGGAUGUUAUUAUUUGUCUUCAUCGUCCAAAUCACAAAUAAUUUUUUCUCUUUGUUAGUUUCUUGAACGUAGACAUGCAUGUAAGCAUUUGAAUGCUUGGUACAAGUCUUAAUAGGAGUAGUAUUGAGUCUAUAUUUGAAUGUUUGGUAGACAUAAUAGUGUCCUCUAUGAACUCCACCACUAUGAACUCAGUAUACGUAUGCGUUGAAGAGAAGCUACAAAUAUUACUACAAAGAUCCACUGUUGGGAAAAAAACCUGAAAAACAAUAAGUGUGCAGUUAACUGGCUAUGUAAAAAUCUGAUUAUUGUCAUAAAAUAUUUAAGAAAUACCAUACUUUCACCGUGUCUACUCCAUCGUUAUAAUUUGCAAGUGGAAAACAUAAACAAUAUGCGGAGUAUAGAGCUUAUCUAAAAUAAGAUGAACACAACAUGAAUAUUGGAAAUAUGUAAAUUCUCACAUAGUUUUUAUUAUUACGUAAGAUUUUUUUUUGUUUUUUGAGUGACAAAAGAAGACAAUAUAUGCAAAUGGAGUGCUUAUGGAUCUAUUAUUUGUGAAGAGUAUAGGGAUUACACACUUCUAACUUUAUAUGGAGAAAGAUAUUUUCCAUCAUCUCUAUCAAAAUCCAUUUGAAGUACGUAAAUAAAUUCACUGGAAUGCAAAGUGUCUAUUAGCCUCAUCUGCAGCAUGUUACACACUGUUGCCGUGGCCAUGCCCUUACAAGAUCCUCAUCAACACACCCUUUCCAUCAAGCACCCCAAGCACGAGCUCUAGAGUCUAUGGUGUCACCAUUGACGGCCUUCUACUCGAAUUCCUCAAGCAUG